rnacentral:lncRNA from 1 species
AAAGCCAGAAGGAAGAGUUGAUUACAAAGAGGGAGAGCUGAUUGCAUACAGGCAUCUAUGAACAUGGGUGAUCACAGUGAAGUUAGCUCUGCUCCAAUUACUCCUAGGCCGAUGACACCAAGGCAAGGGACACCGCCUAUAUCGGCUCCAAUUACCCCUAGGCCAAUGACACCAAGGCUAAUGACACCGCCCAUAUCGGCUCCUCCGUCGCAGUUCCACUCUCCUUCCCUCUCCCGGUCACCGCUGCUAAUUUCCAUCGGAGGAGACCAAGUGGAACCUGCAGGCAAAACACCCAAAACAUCC